rnacentral:rRNA from 1 species
AUUGAACGCUGGCGGCAGGCCUAACACAUGCAAGUCGAGCGGAUGACGGGAGCUUGCUCCUUGAUUCAGCGGCGGACGGGUGAGUAAUGCCUAGGAAUCUGCCUGGUAGUGGGGGACAACGUUUCGAAAGGAACGCUAAUACCGCAUACGUCCUACGGGAGAAAGCAGGGGACCUUCGGGCCUUGCGCUAUCAGAUGAGCCUAGGUCGGAUUAGCUAGUAGGUGAGGUAAUGGCUCACCUAGGCGACGAUCCGUAACUGGUCUGAGAGGAUGAGCAGUCACACUGGAACUGAGACACGGUCCAGACUCCUACGGGAGGCAGCAGUGGGGAAUAUUGGACAAUGGGCGAAAGCCUGAUCCAGCCAUGCCGCGUGUGUGAAGAAGGUCUUCGGAUUGUAAAGCACUUUAAGUUGGGAGGAAGGGCAGUAAGCGAAUACCUUGCUGUUUUGACGUUACCGACAGAAUAAGCACCGGCUAACUCUGUGCCAGCCGCCGCAGUAAUAC